CUGCCUGUGUCUCUGCCUCUGUGUGUGUGUGUGUCUCGUGAAUGAAUAAAUAAAAUCUUUUUUUAAAAAUGUCCUUUAUCUCUAAACCCCCACAAUACAUGUUGACGAUCAUCCCCAAGCACACGGCCCACCGAUACACAUCUGAAGGGUCUCAUGCCUCGGAUUUAUUAGAGGGUAAUAAGUGACCUUUGCCCAACAAUAGCUGCCCCUCAGGAAACCUUGCUGGAAACGUUGCUUCCAAGCUUCCUUCGAGAGGACGCCAUCCUCAAACCCCUCCCUACUCCCAGGUGUGUAACCAGCCUCCCCUCACAGGCCCCGGGCCGCCGCUCUUCCUGCCCACGGGCCCGUCCCCGGGCUUCCAUAAACCCCCCACUCUGCACCAAAGACGCCUCCGGAAUCCUUUCUUGGUCGUCGGCUCCGGGCCUCACCUGUAUUCCAAGAUUUCACCACUAAUGGCACAAAGCCUUGGCUUUCUCGAGAGAACGAUCCCGACAGUGAAGUCCUAAGAGAUCAGGAGACGCUGUCCUCACCACCAUCCCUCAAGGAUCCCAGCAAAACGCGGCGGGGAACGGCAGCCGCAGCCACAUGCAGGGUGGACCGAUGUCCAACAAGCUGUGAACCGAAGGAAGAAUCCUGAGCCUCGUGCGGGUCCACAGGCAGCGUGUGCCAGACGCCCGCCUUCCUGACUCCCAACCCGGAGAACUGGGUCACACCCAGCACGUGCCAGGAGCCGUUCAAAUACCGUAAUACAGUGUAUGUUCCAGCGAUUCUCCGAAUUACCCGAUUCUGCAACCUGAUAGAUGCCAGGUCUUCAAAGAGAUCAUUUCUUGAUGAAGUCAAUGAACAGUCGAAACAUGAUCACCAGCAUCAGGACAGAGCCAGCCAGCGAGGAUGCUCAGGUUUCAAGGAAUUCAGGAGGAUUUUAAGUCUUCCAAGGCAUGUUCUCGCUCUCCGUGGCGCUAAGCCACCAAUCAGUCCUAGAGAGAGAACUAAAAAUCCCCAAGUUUUGGAAACCAUGUAACACACUUAACGAUGAACAACAUGUAACAUAAAGUUUGCUGCUUUGACUGUAUGUCAGGGGGCAGUGACCUCGAGUGCAGGCACGUUGCUGUGUCCACAGAGCGCUUCCAUCUGGCCGGGGGGGGGCUCUGUGCCUCGUCCCUGGUACUCACGGUUCUUCUUUCCAUCUCCUCCAGGUGCCUCGUACGCGUGGGAUCACGCAGCCUUUGUCCUUUUGUGACUGGCUUAUUUCACUUGGCAUCGUGUCCUCGGGGUUCACAUUACGGCGCGGGUCAGAAUUUCCUUCCCUUUUAAGGCUCAAUAAUAGUCUGGUGUAUGUUUAAAAAGAGACAGGGAAUGAGAAAGAGAAUUUCUAGGCUAGGUCAGUGAUCAGCUAAAACCUAAUACCCCACGGCGGGCAGAGGAGGGGCCCACGCUGCACCACAGAAGCAGGCGGGGGUCGCGGGGGCACAGCCGGCUGUGUGCAUGUCCCCCUCGACGGGGGGCUGCCGACGUGCUCAGAUGGGCUGAAGGAAGCGCAAGGGGCAGGAACUGUAAAGCGACACAAGUGUGUGCAGCUGGCUCUGGGCAUGGGCUUAGCUGCACGGGGGCGGGGCGGUACCUCCCGAGCUUUGGAACCUGGGAUGCUUAGUUUUGUACCUCAGCUUGGCUGGACCAUGGUGUCCAGAUGUUUGGUCAAGCACCAGUUUAGAUGUGGGCAUGAAGGUUUCUUUUAGAUGCAAUUAACGUGUAAUCAGUAAAGCGGAUUACUCUGCGUCACGGGGUGGGCCUCGUCCCAACAGUGGAAGGAAGGUCUUGAGAGCAAAGGCAGGCUCCCCCCAGAGGCAGGAAUCUACCAGCAGACAGCCUUUGGCCUUGGACUCAAGCUGCAGCAGCAUCUCUCUCUCUCUCUCUUUAAGAUUUUAUUUAUUUAUG